rnacentral:rRNA from 1 species
AGUUUGAUCCUGGCUCAGGAUGAACGCUGGCGGCGUGCCUAAUACAUGCAAGUCGAACGAAUCUCUUUUAGAGAUGAGUGGCGAACGGGUGAGUAAUACAUAGGUAACCUGCCCCUGUGCGGGGGAUAACAGGAGGAAACUCCUGCUAAUACCGCAUAGCCAUGAGCACCGCAUGGAGCUCAUGCCAAAUAUCCUUUAUGGGAUAGCGCAGGGAUGGACCUAUGGCGCAUUAGCUGGUUGGCGGGGCAACGGCCCACCAAGGCAACGAUGCGUAGCCGGCCUGAGAGGGCGGACGGCCACAUUGGGACUGAGACACGGCCCAGACUCCUACGGGAGGCAGCAGUAGGGAAUUUUCGGCAAUGGGGGAAACCCUGACCGAGCAACGCCGCGUGAGCGAAGAAGGCCUUCGGGUCGUAAAGCUCUGUUGUAAAGGAAGAACGGCGCAUACAGGAAAUGGUAUGCGAGUGACGGUACUUUACCAGAAAGCCACGGCUAACUACGUGCCAGCAGCCGCGGUAAUACGUAGGUGGCGAGCGUUAUCCGGAAUCAUUGGGCGUAAAGAGGGAGCAGGCGGCCGCAAGGGUCUGUGGUGAAAGACCGAAGCUAAACUUCGGUAAGCCAUGGAAACCGGGCGGCUAGAGUGCGGAAGAGGAUCGUGGAAUUCCAUGUGUAGCGGUGAAAUGCGUAGAUAUAUGGAGGAACACCAGUGGCGAAGGCGACGGUCUGGGCCGCAACUGACGCUCAUUCCCGAAAGCGUGGGGAGCAAAUAGGAUUAGAUACCCUAGUAGUCCACGCCGUAAACGAUGGUCACUAAGUGUCGGGGGUCAAACCCCGGUGCUGCAGUCAACGCAAUAAGUGACCCGCCUGAGUAGUACGUUCGCAAGAAUGAAACUCAAAUGAAUUGACGGAAGGGCG